rnacentral:snRNA from 1 species
UUUGAAUGAUGGUAUUUUUGCGAAGCCAGUUUUAUACCAUUGUACAUACGAUUUUGCUAUAUCUUACUCGAAAGAUUUUUUCUUAUCUAUCACUCGAUUUUCUCUCUUAAUUUUACAUUGUAUUUUCUUGUAAGUUACAGUGUAAUUUAUGAAACUUACACUGUAACUUUUGUAAGUUACACUGUAAUUUUU